rnacentral:rRNA from 1 species
AUUGAACGCUGGCGGCAGGCUUAACACAUGCAAGUCGAACGAGUGGCGGACGGGUGAGUAAUGUCUGGGAAACUGGCUGAUGGAGGGGGAUAACUACUGGCAACGGUAGCUAAUCACGCAUACCAUCAACUUAGCCCAACGGGGAUUAGCUUGUUGGUGGGGUAAAGGCUCACCAAGUCGACUAUCCCUAGCUGGUCUGAGAGGAUGACCAGCCACACUGUAACGGAGACACUGUCCAGACGCCUACGGGAGGCAGCAGUGGGUAAUAUUGCGCAAUGGGCGCAACCCUGAGACAGCCAUGCCGCGUGAAUGAAGAAGGCCUUCGGGUUGUAAAGUACUUUCAGGGGCGAGGCGUUACCUACAGAAGAAGCACCGGCUAACUCCGUGCCAGCCGCCGCGGUAAUUC